rnacentral:rRNA from 1 species
CCUACGGGAGGCAGCAGUGAGGAAUUUUCCGCAAUGGGCGAAAGCCUGACGGAGCAAUACCGCGUGAGGGAUGAAGGAUUUUGGUCUGUAAACCUCUUUUCUCAAGAAAGAAGUUCUGACGGUACUUGAGGAAUAAGCAUCGGCUAACUCCGUGCCAGCAGCCGCGGUAAUACGGGGGAUGCAAGCGUUAUCCGGAAUGAUUGGGCGUAAAGCGCCUGUAGGUUGUUUAUUAAGUCCGUUGUUAAAGCCUAGGGCUUAACCCUAGAAAAGCAAUGGAAACUAGUAGACUAGAGUAUGGCAGGGGUAGAGGGAAUUUCUAGUGUAGCGGUGAAAUGCGUAGAUAUUAGAAAGAACACCGGUGGCGAAAGCGCUCUACUGGACCAUUACUGACACUCAGAGGCGAAAGCUAGGGUAGCAAAAGGGAUUAGAUACCCCUGUAGUCCUAGCCGUAAACGAUGGAUACUAGAUGUUGUGCAUUAUGUACAGUAUCGUAGCUAACGCGUUAAGUAUCCGCCUGGGGAGUACGCUCGCAGGGUGAAACUCAAAGGAAUUGACGG